GCCGGAGUGGUGAAACAGGCAGACGCGCGGGACUCAAAAUCCCGUGGGAGCAAUCCCGUGUGGGUUCGAUUCCCACCUCCGGCACCA
rnacentral:tRNA from 1 species